rnacentral:rRNA from 1 species
UACGUAGGGUGCAAGCGUUGUCCGGAAUUAUUGGGCGUAAAGAGCUCGUAGGCGGUUUGUCGCGUCUGCUGUGAAAACUCGGGGCUCAACUCCGAGCUUGCAGUGGGUACGGGCAGACUAGAGUGCGGUAGGGGAGACUGGAAUUCCUGGUGUAGCGGUGAAAUGCGCAGAUAUCAGGAGGAACACCGAUGGCGAAGGCAGGUCUCUGGGCCGAUACUGACGCUGAGGAGCGAAAGCGUGGGGAGCGAACAGG